GCGCACGGGUGAGUAACACGUAAGGAACCUGCCCAUAAGAUGGGGAUAACAGUUGGAAACGACUGCUAAUACCCAAUAGUAUAUUUAGCCACAUGGCUUUAUAUUUAAAGGUCCGUUUGGACCGCUUAUGGAUGGCCUUGCGGUGCAUUAGUUAGUUGGUGAGGUAACGGCUCACCAAGACCACGAUGCAUAGCCGACCUGAGAGGGUGAUCGGCCACACUGGGACUGAGACACGGCCCAGACUCC
rnacentral:rRNA from 1 species